AGAAAAAUAGGUUUAAUAUUAUUUUAAAGUAAUACAUAAUAGGAGAAAAACUUCCAACUUCUUAUUAUGACUCAAGCAAAACAGAUUCCAUUACUGGCAAAGACUAUAACCACAAAA